AUGCGUGCUUCGAUGCGCGACGCCCUGUCGAGCUGGCCGGCGGCGGCGAGGGCGGCAACAAGGGCCCGGGGCAGGGCGGUGGCGCCGUUCGUGCAGACUAGGCACCGCUCCUCCGGCAAGGUGCUCGGCGAGGAGGAGAAGGCCGCCGAGAACGUAGUCAAGUGUUGUUCUCUGUGGAGUUGUGCCUCCGGUGCGCUCUUCGGGCUGCUCGGAGCCAUGCUGUCAGAGCUCUUCAUCAACUGGGCCAUCUACACCAACAAGGUGGGUGCAUCUCCUGCCACUGCCCUCUCUUUAAGGACACAGCCACUCCAAGCGGAGGGGUUAGCUCAAGCGAUAGCUAACAUGGAAAGUGCUAUGGAACAAGAGGUACCAGAAGGUGAAGAACCAAAGAGUGGUGUUGCUGUUGUUGCUGACCUUUUCUCACUAAAGAAUGGCCCUCCAGCAGAUUCCCUCACUGGCUGUGUUGUUUUGAUUGGUGCCAUCUUAUGUUACUGGUUACUAGUGCACAAUAUGGACAUGUGCCAUCUUAUGAACAUGGGGUAA
rnacentral:rRNA from 1 species